rnacentral:rRNA from 1 species
ACAAAUACUAGCCCGCACCACACAAAACUCAACUAACAUAACAAAAUAAAACAAAACAUUUACCCUAAAUUAAAAGUAUAGGAGAUAGAAAUUUUAAUUGGCGCCAUAGAGAAAGUACCGUAAGGGAAAGAUGAAAGACAAAUUAAAAGUAAAUAACAGCAAAGCUUACCCCUUGUACCUUUUGCAUAAUGAUUUAACUAGAACAACUUGACAAAGAGAACUUGAGCCAAAUAACCCGAAACCAGACGAGCUACCUAAAAGCAGCUAUUAGAGCAAACUCGUCUAUGUAGCAAAAUAGUGAGAAGACUUCUAGGUAGAGGUGAAAAGCCUACCGAGCCUGGUGAUAGCUGGUUGUCCAGAACAGAAUUUUAGUUCAACUUUAAGCCAUGCCAAAAAAACCCAUAAUUCUAAUGCAGACUUAAAAUAUAAUCUAAAAGGGUACAGCCUUUUAGAAACAGGAUACAACCUUAACUAGAGAGUAAGUACGAAAAUCCCCAUUGUUGGCCUAAAAGCAGCCACCAAUUAAGAAAGCGUUCAAGCUCAACGACCCUAUAACCUCAAUUCAUCUAAUCAGUACUCGAACUCCUAGCUUAAUACUGGACCAUUCUAUUAUAAAAUAGAAGAGAUACUGUUAAUAUGAGUAACAAGAACUGGUUUCUCCACGCACAAGCUUAUAUCAGAACGGAUAGUCCACUGAUAAUUAACAGUAAGAUAAAUUCAUACACAACUAAAACAUUUAUCAAAACAACUGUUAACCCAACACAGGAGUGCACCCAAGGAAAGAUUAAAAGAAGUAAAAGGAACUCGGCAAACACAAACCCCGCCUGUUUACCAAAAACAUCACCUCUAGCAUAACAACUAUUAGAGGCACUGCCUGCCCAGUGACAUCUGUUAAACGGCCGCGGUAUCCUGACCGUGCAAAGGUAGCAUAAUCAUUUGUUCUCUAAAUAAGGACUUGUAUGAAUGGCCACACGAGGGUUUUACUGUCUCUUACUUCCAAUCAGUGAAAUUGACCUCCCCGUGAAGAGGCGGGGAUAUACUAAUAAGACGAGAAGACCCUAUGGAGCUUUAAUUAAUUAGCCUACAAUAAAACAACUACUACUCUAAGGAAACAAAAACCACUUCAAUAGGCUAACAAUUUAGGUUGGGGUGACCUCGGAAUAUAAAUUAACUUCCGAGUGAUUAAAGCCUAGACUAACAAGUCAAAGCGAAAUGUCACUUAUUGAUCCAAAACAAUUGAUCAACGGAACAAGUUACCCUAGGGAUAACAGCGCAAUCCUAUUUGAGAGUCCAUAUCGAUAAUAGGGUUUACGACCUCGAUGUUGGAUCAGGACAUCCCAAUGGUGCAGCAGCUAUUAACGGUUCGUUUGUUCAACGAUUAAAGUCCUACGUGAUCUGAGUUCAGACCGGAGNAAUCCAGGCCGGUUUCUAUCUAUUUUGUGUUUCUCCCAGUACGAAAGGACAAGAGAAACGGAGCCAACUUAACAUAAGCGCCCUAAAACUAACAGAUGACACCAUCUCAAUCUAGAAGUAACAACACCUAUAACCCAAGAACAGGGCUA